CUGAGAAGACACAUUCAUUGGCAAAUGGGGCUUCCUCAGAAGGAUUGAAAAAAAAAACAUCCCAGCAGUCUUCAGAAGAAAGAAAGGAAGGAGUGUUCAUUAUACAAGCAACCUUGCAAAGAUAUUCUGCAAUGAAGGCUGUCAGUGGUUCUGCUCAAAAGUCAUGCAGAAACACAAGAGAUCCCAGAAGAAUUGUCUCCCAACAAAAAAAUACGUGUGAAAGAGAUGGAGUAUGUGACAUAUCAUCACCUGAAAGAAGGACAUAGACCAAUAAUAGGAGCAUUACUACCUGGCUUCAAAGCAUUUUUAUAGCCAAUUUUAGUAUGUUUAAUGGAAGAGAAAUGCUUGUAAAAAGAAUUUUUAAAACAGUAGUUUGA
rnacentral:lncRNA from 1 species